CCUACGGGUGGCAGCAGUGAGGAAUAUUGGUCAAUGGGCGAGAGCCUGAACCAGCCAAGUAGCGUGAAGGAUGACGGCCCUACGGGUUGUAAACUUCUUUUGUAAGGGAAUAACAUGCUCCACGUGUGCCGUUUUGUAGGUACCCUACGAAUAAGGAACGGCUAACUCCGUGCCAGCAGCCGCGGUAAUACGGAGGAUCCGAGCGUUAUCCGGGUUUAUUGGGUUUAAAGGGAGCGUUGGUGGGUACUUAAGUUAGUUGGGAAAGUUUGGGGCUUAACCGUAGAAUUGCAGUUGAUACUGGACGACUAGAGUACAGGAGAGGUAGGCGGAAUUCGUGGUGUAGCGGUGAAAUGCAUAGAUAUCACGAAGAACUCCGAUUGCGAAGGCAGCCUAC
rnacentral:rRNA from 1 species